GAUGUUGCCUGAAAAGUUUUGCAUGGAAUAAUGGAAUAGGACUUCGGUUCUAUUUCGUUGGUUUUCGGAUCCGAAGUAAUGAUCAAUAGAGACAGGCGGGGACGUUUGUAUGGUUGCGCUAGAGGUGAAAUUCUUGGACCGUAGCCAGACAAACUAAAGCGAAAGCAUUCGUCAAGCAUGUUUUCAUUGGCCAUGAGCGAAAGUCAGAGGCUCGAAGACGAUCAGAUACCGUCCUAGUUCUGACCAUAAACGAUGCCAACUGACGAUCCGUGGUGGUAGUCUAUAAACCUUCCUCACGGGCAGUCCCCGGGAAACCAUUAAGUCUAUGGGUUCCGGGGGAAGUAUGGUUGCAAAGCUGAAACUUAAAGGAAUUGACGGAAGGGCACCACCAGGAGUGGAGCCUNNGGCUUAAUUUGACUCAACACGGGAAAACUCACCCGGCCCGGACACUAUGAGGAUUGACAGAUUGAAAGC
rnacentral:rRNA from 1 species